UGAAUUUUCAAUCAUUUUAAUUGAUUAAUUAACUAAUUGAAUUAGUAGUGAUUAAUUUUAAUCUGUUCUUUUACAAUUUAGUGAAGGUAUUUGAAGAAUCAACUGAAGAGGAUUGAAAGUGUAUCAAUUUAUCUUCUUCUAUUGGAAGCGUUAACUCUUCAGAUCAAACUCUUAACAGGUAACACUCAACGCGAACAAAAAAAAAUCACAACAAAAGCCAAAAGGGAUUUCCCAGAUUAUUACAUCUUCUUUUCUGCAAUUCUCCUCUUCUAAUACUUAUCCAUUUCUUGAUCAUUGGAAGAUGAAAAGUGAACCCAUCGUUCUGACAGAAUUUAGUUUAAAAAUUCAAGUAUAAGUUGAAAAAGAAUUGAACAACAAGGUUGUAAAAGAGGAGAGAGAAAAAAAAGAAACAUGGAAACACAAAGAUUUACGUUUUAACUUCGGGUUUUACACCAACCAAACUUGUGAAUCUCCACCCUGCCCAUCAUCAAGAUUUUUCAUCAUUUUUUUCCUAAACAACAACUUGAUCAUCAACACUAUCGACAUGAUGAUGAUCCUCAUAUUUCCAUGAUUUAUAAUGGUUAUAAUAAUAAUUCUUAAGGCGCAAUUUAACCAUGAAUGAUGAUGAUAAUCAGUCAUUCAGAUUCAAAUCAAUGUCCUGGAUUCUUAUUACGUGAAUGAAAGCGUAAAGAAAAAAAAAGAUGGAGUAAUAAUGGAAAUGGAAACACCACAAACCUACAGACAAUUAAUUCAUCUCCUACAUCGAUACCUGAUCAUCAUCUUCAACCUACUCUGUCAGAAAUUCAACCAAAUCAUCAACAAAUUGAUCUCCCUUCAUAUUUUACCAAUCAACAACAUAAAAAAAACCAAUUGGCCCAAACCAAAUCAAUUUCGUCGAUCUCAAAAGUCACCAAAUUAACUUUCCUGAUCGCAGACAAAUCAAUACAACCACUUCCAUCAUCUUCCCAAUGGAACCACUAGACUUAUAACAAAAUGGAGAUUUCUAUUGUUGCAAUUAAUUUGUCUAAUUUCUCAUCAAUUCUAAUCAUAUUAACGAUUAUUUUAAUAUUGGUGGAAAACCAGUUUAUUCCUAUGAAAAAGCUACACCGUUUAUCCUGGAAAAUCCCAGUUAUAUUUCAAUAAUAAUAUAACAAUAACAAUCAAAGAAAAGUAUAAAAUAUCAGAGAGACAAGAUUGCUGAUAAUUAGGCAGAGAGAACUGCAUUUGGACCUUGUGUUUGAACAUCUAAUAUUUACAUAACCACCACCGGUUUAAUUGUAACUAAUUGUACGUAAAAUUAACUGAAAGACACUGAUUUAAUUAAUUGUCUCCGUUAAUUGUUUGUACAAUUUUUUUCUCUCAAUUAAUCACAAUCAACAUCUGAUCAUCAACAAUAAUCUUAACCAUUUAUAUUAACAGAAUCAUGGUUGAUUGACUUGUUACUUGAUUUAAAAGUUUCUAGUAAAUUGUUGUAACUUUUGUUUUUCUAAUUUCCUUAGAAAAUUUUAAAUCACAAUUAACUAAAUUUUCAAUGAUUGCAUGUUUAAUUAUGGUUAACCUUAUCGUUAAUUAUUGAUCAAUUUAAAAAGCUUAACCAAAUUCAUGCCUCAUCAAAUUGUUUACAAUCAAAAUAAUUAAGACACACGUCUAAUUAUUAGGUUACACUAUUUGACAAUCAAUUGAUGAACGUUAAUCAAUCUCAAUUUAACCUUCAACAAUUUAUUUCAUACUUGAUCAAACUUAAUUAAAUUACUCUUUCAAUUUCGUUCACAAUCAAACUAAUCAUUUGGUUAAAAUAAUCAUUAUCAACUUUUUCAAUUUUCUUCAUCUUUUUUUUCAGACAAAAUCAACCUUUAUAAUGACAACAAUUAACAUCACUUUUUUUCACAACUAAUUGUAGUGAUUAACAGUUAGCAGCAUCAUCAACAUCAUCAUUUCAAAUCAACAAUCAAUAUUCAAUUGUUAACUUUUUCUCAUAUCAAACAUGAACGUUAUUGUCUAUUAUAAAUUGUCCUCUUAAUUGUUUAAUCAUCAACGUAAUCAUCUUGUAUUCCUUGAUUAUUAUUAUUUCACUAAACUAAUCAAGGUUGACUGAUAAUUGGUGAAGGGCAUCAUCUUGAUGAUGAUGAUGAUGAUCAUCGUAACAAUCAAUAAUUAACAUCAUCAAACUGACUAAA